rnacentral:rRNA from 1 species
GAUGAACGCUGGCGGCGUGCCUAAUACAUGCAAGUCGAGCGAACAGACGAGGAGCUUGCUCCUCUGACGUUAGCGGCGGACGGGUGAGUAACACGUGGAUAACCUACCUAUAAGACUGGGAUAACUUCGGGUAACCGGAGCUAAUACCGGAUAAUAUAUUGAACCGCAUGGUUCAAUAGUGAAAGACGGUUUUGCUGUCACUUAUAGAUGGAUCCGCGCCGCAUUAGCUAGUUGGUAAGGUAACGGCUUACCAAGGCAACGAUGCGUAGCCGACCUGAGAGGGUGAUCGGCCACACUGGAACUGAGACACGGUCCAGACUCCUACGGGAGGCAGCAGUAGGGAAUCUUCCGCAAAGGGCGAAAACCUGACGGAGCAACGCCGCGUGAGUGAUGAAGGUCUUCGGAUCGUAAAACUCUGUUAUUAGGGAAGAACAAAUGUGUAAGUAACUAUGCACGUCUUGACGGUACCUAAUCAGAAAGCCACGGCUAACUACGUG